ensembl:lncRNA
UUUUUUUUUUUUUUUUUGCCGUAGGCCCAUUCCACUUACACUAAUAUGAUCUGAUUCCCAAAGAGCUAGAUUCAUAAAGAGCCAGUUAAUCAUGAAAAAGACAAAGCCUCAAAACACAUUUGUUUACUGUUGAGAAGAGGGUCACCUUAUUUCAAAUUCCUUGAAAUUCUGUGAGCCAUGUGGUUUGUACUGAAGGGCUAUUCCUGGUCUGGUCCUGGGGUCCAUGGAAAAUAGCCAUUCCCGUUCUUCUUUUAGGGAUGUCGCAGUUCUACAUUUGGAGAAAAGAUACUUUUGUAUGACUCACAUGAUUUAAAAAAAUAUAUAAGUAAGGGAAAGGAAGCUAUACUUAUCAUAUUUCUUAAAAGAAGCUAGUGUCAGUCAUUCCCAUCUUAUCUUCCUGUUCAUAUACAGUAUUCUUCACAGAUUUAACUUGACAACAUGGUGUAUAUCUAAUUACAGUUAUAGACCAACCACUUUCACUUAAUCACAGGGAGUGUGUUUUCCAGAUGAAGCCAUAUCUGAAUUUGAGAGAAAUCGAAGAUAAGUAGUUUUUUCAGUGGUUAUUUAUGCUUUGAUAUUUUAAGAAAUUUGAAAAAUAUAUGAACAUGUUGCUAAAUUUUCUGAGCGUAUGUUGUUUAUUUUGUCUUUGUAACAUUUAAAUGUCUAAGAUAAUAGGAAUAAAAGCCACCUGCAGGAAAAGGAAUAUAUAGAUAAUGUAUAUAUCUAUAUUAAUCGCUAUCUAUUCUCUAUCUUAGCUGGAAACUCAUUUGAGAUUCAGAAUAUGGCUGUUUAUAAAAUUAGAGCACUGGUGCCCCCCAAGGCAGGUGAGAUCCAUGAGCUAAUAUAAAUAGAGUUUGGGGCUUUUUGUCCAUAGGAUGUAUGAACAGUUUUUACUGAAGGCCCUGGUAGAGUUCAGAACAGAAAAGGAUAGCACAUCAUGACAGGAAGUAUCUCUCCACCUCCUACCCCCACCCUGGCUGGUUGAAGGAUUGGUUUUAGGAUCAUAGCAAGACAUCUAUAGGCCUGAAGGAUGGUUUCAGCAAUUCGUUCUUAUAUUCCUUUGAAAUCUCCCAGACACAAAUUAGAUGCCAUUCCUCUUUGCUAUUAUGGUAUCAUAAGCCUGAAAAUAGGACAUCACUUGAUCCAUGGUUCAAGAAUUUUGUCCUUACAACACUCAACUUCGGCUAUUCAUAUUUAUGGCUGAAUAAAAAUGUUUUGGGGGACAGUUUAAGGGCGUCCGUCUUAGAGUGAUUCUUGCCCUUUGAGCGCAUUGCAGGAGUUGCCCAUUUUUCUCUGUGGUAGAAUCACAUACUUUUGUUACUGGUACUUAUAAAACCAACCUUUAAGAAUGUUAACGUAUAUGUACUAUUUAAUAUAACCUAAAUGCAUUCAUAAAUGUUAUCUUCUAGUGUUAUUUCAAAAAUAUGUACAAUGACUGUAAAAAAUAUGGUCAUUAUCCAGAUAUGUGACCUUACACUACAUUUAAGAUAUCCGUAUGUAAAAUGAAGAUGUAUGGUAUUAAAUUGUUAAGUGUGUUUGAAUGGGUUAAGAGAUAUGGAAGCCUCAUACAAUAUUCAGUACAUGGUAGUUUUACUUUACCUACAGGAUCACACUGGACUCAAAUUUGGAGUGGGAGUGAGGAAGAUCAGAUAAAAGAUCUUGUGGGGGAGAGGGUGACUAACCUCACUAAACCUCAUUUUAUUAACUUCUGAAAGAAGGCAGCUGGAUAAACUCUAAGGCUUCUUUUAAAGAAUUCUAACAGUCUGCGUUUCCUUGUUAUUAUGCAUAUUGAUAUAUUUAUAAUGUGAUGCCAGUUGACUCCAAGCUGAUAGGAGACAACUGUUUAUAUAUUCAUAUAACAUUAAGUUUAGGAAGCCCGAAGAACCAAAAUUGUUUUAUUCGUUCUUCUUUACUGUUUCAUUAUUUCUCAACCGUUUCACUGUCGAGAAAAUAAGGGUAAUAGAAAAAUAUGUGUUUUCCAUCACAGAGCAGAAGAAACUUAGUGGGAAUCCUGGGUCUUGAAUAAAAUAAAUAGACUUGAGAUUCUUCUCAUUAACACUUGUUGCCUUACCGGUUGUGACAAAUGUAAUUCUGCAAUGAAAGACUUUUUACUGGGUAAACAAGCAUUAUGCUGAGGUUUUUCUUUUUUUCUCACAGUUUAUCAUUUUACUCAGCCAACCUUUAAUCCACUUGAGAACCCUAAAAUUCUAACCUAAUUUAGAAGCGUUAAAAAAGAAGAGUGAGGCGUUCCUGUCUCGAAUUCGUUAAUCCCUGAGCCACGAUGGGAACUCUGGAAUCAAUCAAUUUUUAGAAACUAUGAAGACUAUUUACCAACUUAGAAAUUUGCAGUUAUUAUUUUAAUAAUAAUUUUAAUUGGUACAAAAUUAUGCAUGCACUGUGAUUUAAAAUGCACAAAAUGUAUAUAUGGAAAAUUUAGAAGAGAAUAGAUUGAAGUGAUAAGUUUUAAGACAGAACGAGAGAAUUGCAAAUGGUUUCUUUCCUUUUUAAAAUUUUCUAUAAUGUUGUAUUUUUGUUAUAAAUUAUCCUCCAUAAAAGCAAUAUUUUGAUUCCUAUGAAGGACUUAAUGCUGUGUAGUGAACUUGGAAGGUGUCCUCUUUAAAUACACAAGUUAUUACCACGCUGUCAGAGUCCAUUAGUGUAGCUCUUGGUAGAGACUGUCACCAUUGAUCAUUACCACCAGUUUGUUUCAGCUGGUCAUUGUGGACGGGGGGGCCCUCUUGUCCUUUAACUGUUGGUAGUCUAAGGUUAAAAGAGGAAGAAAAAGUGAGUGAAGAGUUGAGAGUGUGAAAAUUCAAGACAAGGGGAGGCAGCAAAUGUGUGGGCUGUAAAAGAAAUAAGAACAGACACAAAAAGACCAAGAACAGAGAAGAAAGAUUUUCAGCUGUGUGUCUGCCUCUCUCUGAUGUUCUUUUGCUUCACCUUUUUUCUUUCUUUUUUUUAAUCUCUUCCCUGCUGUUCAGUGGAGCCUUUCAAAGAGAAGCACUAUAUUUUCAAAAGCCAUGACUAUUUUUGAUCUUUCCUCUAAUCAAUAUGCUGAGGUGGUCUUGGCAGGAAAGAGACCUACUCUCUUGAAUCGCAGAGUGUACUACAUCAGAAGUGGGAGGUUCAGCAUCACAGGCAAAGACAAGUACAAAACAAUGGGGUAAACAGAAUCCCGAUAGUAGAAGGGGAAGUGAGGAAACUAGAGGAUGCCUUCUCCAGGCACCAUUUAGCUCUGAGUUUGAAAAAGCUGGUGCAGAUGAACUAGUUCUAUCCCUCUGCCACCUAGACCUGCUUAAAAAUUCCGGACCAAACAGUCCUUGAUCCUGACACUACAGCUGCUUCCAAAAUGCACAUUAUAUCUGCUUAUGAAUUGGCUCUGGAUAGCUCAGAGUUGCAGAUUUUCGCCACUGGGCCCUUGGAAAAGGCGACCUGUGUUUCCUGACAUUAGGCAGGCCCAGUAGGAUAUGUUAGCCCAGACAUUCAUGUACUUUUUACCUUUUCACUCCUUCAAAAUCAUCCAUAAAGGGCAGUGAAACUUAGAGCAGCUCCUCAAAGAGGUGCUUAUCUUUUAUGACAACAAUUCAGAAAUCUCUUGAUUUAGCUGUCAAGCUUGGAUCUGAAAGACAUAGAGCCAAGAUUUCUUAAAAUAGCACUCUUAGAGUCUAAAAUAUUUGUUAUAGCAUAUAAUAAUGAACUAUUAAAUAGGUGCAACCUUCUUAUAUGCUUGAGUUACCCAUAAAUUGAUCAGUGGGUUUCUAGAGAAAAAUGCCUUUUUCAGGCAUACCAUUAGCCAGAUUAUUGGUCUGCAUGACUGGUUUGAAGGGGAACAGCAGCAUCCCUGGGCUGGGCUAGACUAGGACUCCUCCUUGGCUCCAGGUGCUUGAUAAUCCUCUCAAAAAAAAAUUUGGCAGACCUACCUCAAAGGUCAAGUUUUUUCAUCGCACUUAGCAGAGGGGGAAGAGUUGCAUUUUCCUUAAAUCUCUUAGUGUCCGCCUAAAGCCUCACAAAUACAACUGCCUGCUUUUUUUCUAGCCAUAAAACCGAAAAUGUAAGUUAUUUUCUCUAUAAAAGAAUUAACUGCAGUUAUUCUCUGCAGUCUAGAAUAAGAAAAUGGGCCUUUAAAUAAAUAAAUUGGGUCAUGAUUUAUUAAGGAAAGAGUGGGAAGGGAUGUGGCUGGGAUUUCCCGGGAAUAAAGUGUGUUGCAGGAGAGCAGGCGAGUGUGCUGAGCACAGCAGGAUCUGCAGGAACUCAAUUGUGACACAGAUUAUCAGCCCCAUCUUCCCCAUGUAACCAUCCUGUCUUCACCCAGCAGGAGAUUAGGGAGCAUCCACAGUGUUACCUGAAAAUAACUGCAUCCUUAGAAGAUGCUGUGAAUGUGCUUUUCUAACAAAACACUACUGUGACAUUUCCAGUUAGACCAAGAACUUGGCACCAUGUUGCCUUUGUGAGUUAUCCAAAGUAGUGUGUUCUCAAUAAAAUUCAGACUUGAGAUGUUGUUUCUGUUUAAAAGAAAGAGUGGGGCUUGGGGGAGGGGGGAAAGAAAGAAGGAGAGAGGGAGGAGGAAGGGAGGGAGGAAAGAAGGAAGAAGGCAGGGAGGGAGAGAGACUAACAACUAAUUCUCUGCAGUGGGUGAGCAGAAUGGCUACUUUGUGGAGACUAAAACCUUAUAUUCUUAAUCAGUGAAUGAGCUACUUCACUUUGAAUCAUUUUUAGAACAGGAAUGUAUGACGUUACAGGGACAACCAAGAGAAAGAAUGCUUAUCCAGAAUUAGAAGAUUCAUCUGUCUGUCUGUCUAUCUAUCUAUCUAUCUAUCUAUCUAUCUAUCUAUCUAUCUAUCUAUCUAUAAACAGCACAUCUAAACAAUCCAGCUGUGUAGAUUUAGGAAGAGCCUCUGAUCUUAACUUCAACCUCAUUUUAUUAUUGUCUAUUCAAAACCAGGUGCAAUUCUCAUUCCUUGAUUUUUCUGAACAUUUCUCCCUCUUUAAAAUGUGAUAAGCCUUUGCUUCUACCGAUUCAUACCACCUCUUUACUUUCAGUUGAGAAUCUGUGUAAAAGUUAAGUGCUCUUUCCGGAUUCUUUUAAGCACAUCGUAUUUCAAUUCUGUGGGUUUCUAUUUAGGAUAUCUCCGUCUCUUUUUUGUAUGUUUAUUUAUAAUAGAAUGGCUAUAUGUCCCACUUUUCAUAAGACAGACUUGGUUUACCUAUUUUGUAAUUAUUAAUAGUGCCCCAUCUACUCGCCAUGUGUCCGAAUUUGGAAUAUAAAUUGUAUGAUAACUCUACUUAAGUUUGCAUAGAAAUGAGCAAAAUAUUAUUAUACACUUUUUUAUUCCAAUAAAUCUUUCAAAAAAAUUAAACUCAUGAAACUAGAAUCGCCUCUCUUGAUUUUCUCAUACCCAUUCAAAAUGAAAAUAAACACCUUGAUGAAACAUGGAUUAGCAAUGAGAUCCUGCUGUGUAGCACUCGUAACUAUGUCUAGUCACUUAUGAUGGAGCAUGAUAAUGUGAGAAAAUAGAAUGUGUACAUGUACAUGUAACUGGGUCACCAUUCUGUACAGUAGAAAAAAAAAUUGUAUUAGGAAAAUAACUAUUAAAAAUAAUAAUAGAAACAAUGAAUAAAAUUAAAAAAAAUAAACGUAAGCAAAAAAAAAA